CGUCUGCUCGAUCCUGUAACAAAUACAUAAAAAUAAUAAAUCGUAGGCAAAACUAUUUAAAUAUAAAUACAAUGUUUUCAGUCUCUAAAAUAACUAGGACUGCGAGUUUCUAUUUACAAAGGCUGAUAGUUAUUAGUAUGUCGCCAAGGGAAUACAGCAAGAAAUUUUGCAAAGCCCACGAUUGUAAAUUAACCGUUAAAUGUAUAAAGUUAUUGUUAUUUAACAGAAUUCUGACAUGUGGUGCAUCCGGAAUACCAGCUUUUAACCUUUCAUUCCUUAAAUAUGGAAGCUUUUUGAAAGGCAAAAUCUGAAGAUAUAUUUUUUUGGUCCGAUAAAUGAUACCUCUCGUGAAAACGGCAAAGGUCUUUUUGCAGACAAUAAAUCUAUGAUUUAUAUAUAUAUUUUUUUUAAAUAAGACAAAAAUAAAGUCAGGUUAUUAUCUCCAAAACUAUCUGUGGGUAUCUUAAAUUUCAACUAGCUAUGUUUUAAAAUGUGCUAAUGUGGUAAAUUUUCUCUCAUAUCUGAGAUAUGGGCUUUUGUGACUAAGUGUUACAGGAUUCCUAAUUCUUUCACCGAAUAUUUAACACAAAUAAUAUACAUUUGAAUCUCUCAAACAGAAAGGUGAAUAUUCCAUAAUUAAAAAUAUAAACAAUUUAUUACUGAAAAAUAAAUAAAUGAGCUCAUUUUUUACCAAGAAAACUACUUCAAUGUGCCAACAUAACAAAAUUAUAAAAAAUAUAUGCAGAACUUUUAUGAAAUACAUUCCAACAAGCUUGCUUGCUUUGCAGGUCAGGUUUCCACCUGAACAAUCUUUGUACGACGAUUCAGUGUCAUCUUACCCCUACUAAUAAUAAUAUUAUAGCAACCAAAUAGUAUUCUUAGGAUUUUUUUGAAACCACUCAAUAUGAGAGAAAAUUUCUCUUAAAAUUUCAAUUCUAAGAUCUGUGAAUGUCAAGUCCACUGUUUGCUAUAUACAUAAUGAUACACUAAUAAACAUUUUACCUACCUGAAUAGAUCAGUACGAGUCCCUACUAGUGACAUUCUCUAUACAGAAGUAAUCAUUGUUACUUCUCAAAUUUCUCGUAGUGGAACUUUCCUUUGCAAUUUUUUUUUUUUGUUAACCCUCAUAAUCUGCAUACUAAGUUUAUAAGUAAAAGCUUCUUCGCAAAAAACAAACAAAGGAAUUCGUAACUCUUUAUAACUCUUCCUUAAAAAAAAUAUUUUCCGAAACUAACUAAAUCAGAUUUUAAUUUUAAAUACGUUUAAAACUUAUGUUCGAUAUCAAAGAUAUAAAAACAGUAAAUUUUCUGAGAUUCCAUACAAUUACAUCAUAAGUAUCUUUAAAAUUUAAGAAAUAAUGACUAAUAUAUCAAAAA